ACUCGGCUCUAAGGGAGAGGGCAGAGUGGGGGGGAGACCUCUGUCUGGUUCUUUAUUGUUCAAGUCUUGUAGCCUGCUAUCUCGCACUAGAAUAAGCCCUUAGUCACGAAGUUCCACCACUUUCUCACUUUCUCUUACGUCUUGCUGCAGGUCUGUCUACAGUUAAUGUGUCUGUCUAAGACUCAGACUUCUUGAGGUCAUUUAAAAACGGAUAACGAAGGAGACGUUGUGGUUUUGUAAGGGCCAUGGAUUCCGGCGUGGCUCUGCUGGAGGGGGACUUGAAGGGCCACCAGUAAACAGAUUGGCCCGGGGGCAGCCCCUACACACCGUAAAAGCCACAGCCGCGGUGAAGAUGGUCUUCAGCAGAUGCCUUCCAGAACAGUCCAUCUUCAGCGUCAGAUGGAGCGUAUUACCUACGUUGACAUCUCACACGAUAGAAAGAAGUAAACGAUCAAAUACAAAAAUAAUAUGUUGAUCUACUAAGCAGAGUGUUCCAGCAUAAGCUCCAUACAUGGUUUGUUGUGUUGAGUUCAACGUACACAUAAUAAAAAACGACUUUCGGCCCAGAGAACUAGAUAACAACGCCAAAAGUCAUUCAACACGACAGUACUGUUGGCAAAAUCAGGAAAGGCAUCACUGCGAAUCGUUUAAACAAGCUUGCCACUUUCAACAGUGAACCAGGAACUAA